CAGCAGCCGCGGGAAUACCGAGGGUGCGAGCGUUAAUCGGAUUUACUGGGCGUAAAGCGUGCGUAGGCGGCUAAUUGAGUCGGAUGUGAAAUCCCCGAGCUUAACUUGGGAAUUGCAUUUGAUACUGGUUAGCUAGAGUGUGGGAGAGGAUGGUAGAAUUCCAGGUGUAGCGGUGAAAUGCGUAGAGAUCUUGAGGAAUACCGAUGGCGAAGGCAGCCAUCUGGCCUAACACUGACGCUGAGGUACGAAAGCAUGGGGAGCAAACAGGAUUAGAUACCCGCGUAGUCCCUGUCUCUUAUAA
rnacentral:rRNA from 1 species